rnacentral:lncRNA from 1 species
CGCUCCCCGCCAGUUUUGUGACGUCACGGAGGUCAGACAAUCCCUUCCAUUUGGCGCGGCUAGCCUAUUGGUUCCACGCGUGCGCGCGCCCCGUGACCACGCCCUGUUGCUGGUGAAGGAAUAGAAUUUCCACAAACUUGUGACAGAAUGCUUUUUUAAAAUGGUGAACAAUGAUUCUAAAACCCCAAAGUUCCAUAAGGUCAUAUUGAGGCAUUGGAAAAAGGAGCUCCCUCCAGUAUGCAGAUGACUCAAUAUCCUGAGAAGGCACCUUUAUUUAUACUGGAAGAUCCUGCAGAUACCUGCCUAACAAAACUCUGCUAUCCUUAAUGCUGUGGACUAGAAGGACCCACAUGAAGCCCAAGCUGCACUUCUGCUACAGAUGUGUGGAGAGGCCUAAGUCCAGCCCCUGAAUGUACUUUGGUUGGUGCUUCAGUCUCUGAGAGCCCCAAGGGUCCAGGCCUCCAUCCCUCCUCCGGGCUCCGCUCUGGGCAUCCAGAGGAGAAAGACUUUGAAGUCCUCAGGGGACUUGCAAGCAGAAGUGGGGGAAAGGGUACCACAAAUGGAGAUGAAAUCUGUCUUUACUUUCCUGAUGUUCCUGGGCUUCAAAGCCAGAGCCAUGAGCCAUGGAAAGGCGGAGUUGGAAAGGACGCUGUCUCUGAUGUGACAUUCUAUGCUCAAAAAUGCCUUUGCCUGGCCUCUUUGUGUGACUUCAGUUGGAUACCAGGAUCCCAGAGACACAUAACAUAUGACUUCAACUGUGAUUUAUGUGGAUUACAUGUUGCUGCUGGCAUUGGAAUCUUCUCAUCAAGUUACACAACUACAAUACUGAAAGAGGACCUUCAGCUUUAUCAUAUCCUUCCAUUACGGAUACUUGUCCCAUCGAUUUCACAUCUGUUGUGUAACAACAUAAAAUGGAGUGAUUUGACUUCAUGGUCAACAGAGGGGAGGACACCAGAGGAACAGCUGCUUUCAAGGUCAAGUCUGGAAUGUUCCAAGGCACUGGACAUGAGACAUUCAAGAGCCUGGAGAAGAGACAAACGUUGUCUGUGCAAGGCCAGAGACAAGUAAAGGAGCCAUGGCUACAGUUUGUGGACCAGUAGUCUCUGGACCCCCAGUCUUCAGACUCUUAGGCCAGGGCUUGAGUCUCAGAUUUUGUUGUUUGGCACAGUGAGUGAGCUGGGCAUCGAUAUGGAGUCAGGUAGAAUAGAAAACAGGACUUACACUGAUACAUUACCUUGGUAAAGCUGUUGUGAGUGAAUACAAGGUUGGAUGAAUCAAGAACCCUUGGCAACAAUUGAUGCUCAAGAAGGAGGUGACUGUCCGAGAAGUAAUGAUGCCACAUCAAGUUGGCUCAAUAAAGAUGCGCUUUGUGCA